ACACAGGGGGAAUAACAACCGGAAAACGGUUGCUAAAACCGCAAUGAAAUUAUGAACAUCGCUUGAAUGAAUCAUAUAAAAUAUAUAUAGGUUAUGAAAUGGGCCCGCGUCUGAUUAGCUAGUUGGUGAGAUAAAAGCUCACCAAGGCUUCGAUCAGUAGCCGGCUUGAAAGAGUGACCGGCCACAUGGGGACUGAAACACGGCCCAAACUCCUACGGGAGGCAGCAGUGGGGAAUAUGGCACAAUGGGGGAAACCCUGAAUGCAGCGACGCCGCGUGAGUGAAGAAGUAUUUCGGUAUGUAAAGCUCUAUCAGCAGGGAAGAAAAUGACGGUACCUGACUAAGAAGCCCCGGCUAACUACGUGCCAGCAGCCGCGGUAAUACGUAGGGGGCAAGCGUUAUCCGGAUUUACUGGGUGUAAAGGGAGCGUAGGUGGCGAGUCAAGUCAAAUGUGAAAGCCCGGGGCUCACCCCCGGGAUUGCAUUUGAAACUGGUUUGCUAAAGUGCAGGAAAGGUAAGUGGAAUUCCUAUUGUACCGGUGAAAUGCGUAAAUUUUAGGAGGAACUCCAUUGGCGAAGGCGGCUUACUGGACUGUAACUGACACUGAGGCUCGAAAGCGUGGGGAACCAACAGGAUUAAAUACCCUGUUAGUCCACGCCGUAACCGAUGAAUACUA
rnacentral:rRNA from 1 species